CGUGGAACCUUUAUCAAGACACCUUAUUCUGAUCCAUAAAACAAGUCUCAAUCAAUUUAAAAGGAUUCAAAUCAUACAAGCUACUCAGGGUACUCCAAAUCAAGCUAACAUCUUACAGUCCAUUUAACUACCAUAACCAAGUACUGCUGUCACAAGCAAAACAUAAAGAAGUCUGAUAGGAUGCUGCUGUCUACAGCCACACCACCCUGAAUGUGCCCGAUCUCGUCUGAUAGGUCUGCUGCGGAAGGUACUCUCUAUGGAAGAACAUAAGACCUCAGCACCAAAGUCAAGGUUUGGAGAAGGACAGUUGAGAGUGAAAGGAGAAACUAUUUAUGACUGGACAAGAGGCAGCAACUGGGAUAUCUGUUUAUGAUUUAUACAACUAUGAUAACACGUAUCAUGACUGUAGUAAAAUUCUGUUCCUGCAUCUGGACCUUCUUCAUCCCCAGAAGACCGUAAGCCCUGAGGGGCAAACCUUAUCCACCUCUGUAUUCCAAGAACCUAAGUGCCAGGAUGGGCAGU